UUUUGCUGGAGAUCCUUGUGUACCUGUGUGAAGAAGGUAGUAACCUGACAAGGUUUAACAAGAAGUGGAGUCUCGCACCCGGGGAGGAAUAACCAGAUGCAUCAGCAUAGAUAAGAGCGUAACCUGCUGGAGGUUGAUGGGGCGCUGGAACAGAGAGGUUGUGGAGUCUCCUUUGGAAAUGUUCAAGACCCAUCUGGAUGCCUACUGAAACUCUCUUCAAGAUGCACCUCUUACAUGCCACUUGCUUUGGACUGGAAUGGUGAGGGGAAAAUGCCAGAAGGUUCUUGAGGGUUUUCAGCAGCAGAUUAGCAACCAAUGCCUCCCAGCAGUGCUCCCUUGUAGCUGAGAAAUGGAAGUCCAUGGCUUCUUUGCCUAGAGCUUCUUGGGCUUAGCUGGGUUCUGUCAAACCUUGCCUGGAGGCAGCCAGGGGAUUGCAUUCCUGUGCAGAUGAAGGCAUUGAUGGAAGGCACAGCCUUCUGGUGCAGCCACCUGGAGGGCUUGGCUACAGGAAACAUGACUGCAGAAAGCCUGCAACACUGGUAGACUGUCUGGGAAGAGGAUACAGACUGAAGCAGGAAUUCAGCUAUUCCUCUUUUCUCUUUGUUCUGCUGCAGCAGAUCUGUUCUCAAGGGACACUCCUCUUA